rnacentral:rRNA from 1 species
GGAUGAACGCUGGCGGCGUGCCUAAUACAUGCAAGUCGAGCGAACAGACGAGGAGCUUGCUCCUCUGACGUUAGCGGCGGACGGGUGAGUAACACGUGGAUAACCUACCUAUAAGACUGGGAUAACUUCGGAAACCGGAGCUAAUACCGGAUAAUAUAUUGAACCGCAUGGUUCAAUGGUGAAAGACGGUUUUGCUGUCACUUAUAGAUGGAUCCGCGCCGCAUUAGCUAGUUGGUAAGGUAACGGCUUACCAAGGCAACGAUGCGUAGCCGACCUGAGAGGGUGAUCGGCCACACUGGAACUGAGACACGGUCCAGACUCCUACGGGAGGCAGCAGUAGGGAAUCUUCCGCAAUGGGCGAAAGCCUGACGGAGCAACGCCGCGUGAGUGAUGAAGGUCUUCGGAUCGUAAAACUCUGUUAUUAGGGAAGAACAAAUGUGUAAGUAACUAUGCACGUCUUGACGGUACCUAAUCAGAAAGCCACGGCUAACUACGUG